rnacentral:rRNA from 1 species
GCACGGGUUAGUAACGCGUAAGUAAUCUACCCUCGCAUUCGGGAUAACCCACCGAAAGGUGUGCUAAUACCGGAUACGUCUCAUUUAAUAUCCUUUGAUGAGAGAAAGGUGGCCUCUUGAAUCAAAGCUACUGUGCGGGGAGGAGCUUGCGUACCAUUAGCUAGUUGGUAGGGUAACGGCCUACCAAGGCGAUGAUGGUUAGCGGGUCUGAGAGGAUGAUCCGCCACACUGGAACUGGAACACGGACCAGACUCCUACGGGAGGCAGCAGUGAGGAAUAUUGCGCAAUGGGGGCAACCCUGACGCAGCGACGCCGCGUGGAUGAUGAAGGCCUUCGGGUUGUAAAAUCCUGUCAGAUGGGAAGAAGUGUGUAUCACCCAAUACGUGAUACAUUUGACGGUACCAUCAAAGGAAGCACCGGCUAACUCCGUGCCAGCAGCCGCGGUAAUACGGAGGGUGCAAGCGUUGUUCGGAAUUACUGGGCGUAAAGCGCGCGUAGGCGGCUAGAUAAGUCAGAUGUGAAAGCCCGCGGCUCAACCGUGGAAGAGCAUUU